rnacentral:rRNA from 1 species
GUUUUACCCGAAGGCGCUGUGCUAACCGCAAGGAGGCAGGCGACCACGGUAGGGUCAGCGACUGGGGUGAAGUCGUAACAAGGUAGCCGUAGGGGAACCUGCGGCUGGAUCACCUCCUUUCUAAGG